GCGCAGCAGGCGCGAAACUUCCACAAUGGACGAAAGUCUGAUGGAGCGACGCCGCGUGCGGGAUGAAGGCCUUAUGGGUUGUAAACCGCUGUCAGGGGGGAAGAACAUCGGAAUGAACAAUACUCAUUCCGACUGACGUUACCCCAGAGGAAGCUCCGGCCAACUCCGUGCCAGCAGCCGCGGUAAUACGGGGGAGCAAGCGUUGUCCGGAAUUAUUGGGCGUAAAGGGCGUGUAGGCGGCGAGGUAAGUCGAAUGGUGAAAUCUCACGGCUCAACCGUGAAACUGCGUUCGAAACUACCCUGCUUGAGUACGGGGGAGUGUACGGAAUUCCUGGUGUAGCGGUGGAAUGCGUAGAUAUCAGGAAGAACACCGGU
rnacentral:rRNA from 1 species